rnacentral:piRNA from 1 species
UCCAGAAAACUUGGAGAUGUGCACUCAGAC